UUCACUCUCCGUUUCAAAUCACCGAGCAGAGGAAACCAAACCGGAAACAGAGAGAGCUACCUCUCGCAGACAAGGCCAGUUAAAUAUACUAAAAAUCAGGAAAAUGGAGAGGAAAAUUAGAAACUUUUCUGCUCAAGAAGAAACACACGAAGCUAGCUCUAGAUCCAGACGGCGGCGGCGCCGACUCGGCUCCAGCAACACCGCUCGGCCUCCUGCAGCACCUCCGGCUGGGCGUCCACCUGCAGCACCUCCAGCAACACUCGGCCUCCUGCAGCACCUCUCGGCCUCCUACAGCACCUCUCGGCGACGCCCGGCGCGGUCACGGUGCUCGGCGAGGCCGCGUCGGCGGAGGACGUGGCGGUGAACGAGCGCGACUACAUCGAGCCCGUCCGGUCGCCGCUGCUCUCGCACAUCUGCACGGCGCCCGUGUCGUCGGCCCCAUCUCCAUCGGCAACGGGGUCAUCUUCCUCAGAGGCGGUGGCGGCCGGCGGCUGGCGCCUCCGAGCUUCACCAACGGCUGCGCCUUCGAGCCUCGCCUACUCUCCUCUCCAGCAGCCAUCCUUGCGCCGCGCUCCUCCGCCCCUCUCGCCGGUAUCCAUUGCGCCGCGCUCCUCCGCCCCUCUCCUUGCGCCGCGGUCUUUCUGUCGUGGGUGAACGGAAGGAGGGUGAGGAGAUGCGAAACGAGGACUUGGCCAAGCCUGGCUUGUGGGAAACG
rnacentral:lncRNA from 1 species